UGCCAGCAGCCGCGGUAAUACGGAGGGUGCGAACGUUAAUCGGAAUUACUGGGCGUAAAGCGCGUCUAGGCGGUCCGUUAAGUGGGAUGUGAAAGCCCCGGGCUCAACCCGGGAACUGCAUUCCAAACUGCCGGACUGGAGUAUGGUAGAGGGAGGUAGAAUUUCUUGUGUAGCGGUGAAAUGCGUAGAUAUAAGAAGGAAUACCGAUGGCGAAGGCAGCCUCCUGGACCAAUACUGACGCUAAAGCGCGAAAGCGUGGGGAGCAAACAGGAUUAGAUA
rnacentral:rRNA from 1 species